rnacentral:rRNA from 1 species
AUAUCAGUCAUGCAUAGCAUAUCAAUAAGCGGAGGAAAAGAAACUAACAAGGAUUCCCUUAGUAACGGCGAGUGAAGCGGGAAGAGCUCAAAUUUGAAAUCUUCAAGGUUCUACCUUGACGAAUUGUAGUUUAUAGAAGUGUUUUCUGUUAGUGGAGUGGCAAAAGUUCUUUGGAAUAGGACAUCAUAGAGGGUGAGAAUCCCGUAUUUGGUCAUUCCUCCUAGCGUUGUGAUACACUUUCAACGAGUCGGAUUGUUUGGGAAUGCAGUCCAAAAUGGGUGGUAAAUUUCAUCUAAAGCUAAAUAUUGGCGAGAGACCGAUAGCGAACAAGUACCGUAAGGGAAAGAUGAAAAGAACUUUGAAAAGAGAGUUAAACAGUACGUGAAAUUGUCAAAAGGGAAGCGUUUGACACCAGUGUUGUUUUUCCGAAAAUCAAUUACGAAUGUUUUGUUUUUAAGAAGUUAUGACUUCAUCGGCUUGCUUCUCUCUUUACGAAACUUUCUUAAUGCACUUUUCGGUUAACAAGUCAACAUCAAUUUCUUUUGUUGUAAAAGGGUAUGAGGAAGGUGGCUUUCUUUUCGGAGAAAGUGUUUAUAGCCUCGUAGCCUCUGCAAUCGGAGAGAUUGAGGUCUGCAGCGUAGAUCCUUCGGGGUUAGAUACAGUUUGUGCUAAGUUAUAGCUUUUCAUAGACAACUUGUUGACUAUGUUUAGUCUUGUAGCUUACUCGCUUAUGCUAUUUUACCUACGCUUAGGAUGUUGAUCUCUCACAGUCGAGC